GUUUUUUCUGUUGGCAAUUAUAUAAUCUCAUGGCGUCAAUAAACAAUUAUGAUGACACUGCCAGAGAAUGGGAGUAACCCAGACCCAUACCUAUCCACUUUUCCAACCAAAAACCAUUUUUUCUGGCGAUUUUUUCACCUCCACGACUCAUCCUGGUAGACCAGUCUCCCCUUUCAACCAAAACCCAGAAUCAGACUUUUCUACUUGAGCUAAAACCCAAUACCCAGAUUACCAAUCUACAUUCUAGCCCUCUGUUUCCUGGAAACACAAGUCACUGGAGGCAUAAGUAUGUUUAGUUUCUGCUUUCUUCCUUGAUUCUUGGAUUUUAGCAUCACUGAGGUUCAGCCAUCAUAUGUUUAUUGAUUCUUUUACUUCUUUAUUUUUAUUUUAUAGAGAUGGAUGCCAAUGAAUUUUCUUCUCUAAGUAUGUGGUGCUCUUAACAAAAUUGGAGAAAUAGAUGGUGCUAUGUUAAGUUUUUAUUGGCUUUAUUGAGAGAAUUUUUCUUAUUGAAAAGAAAAAACAAAAUUGGAGAAUGCAAUCUGGAGGUCUGGGGAUGGGGAUGCUUUAACAGAGUAGCUUUUGUAUUUUAUUUGUCAGAGAAUAAACCAGCACUUAGCUUUUGUUAUCCUGCGUUUAUUGUUUCUUCAAGUGAUUGACAAUCUACAGGCUCAUAGCAUUAUUUUUGUUUGAAUUAUGAAGAUAAUUCUUGAAUUCACUAAUCCCAACUGUUAUGAUUACAGGGAGUUUGGAUAUUAAAUAAUUGUAGGCAAAUAAUGAAAAUUCAACCGUAUCUUCUUCUCUUCCUUAUCCUAUCAUUCACAUGUUUAUUGGGUUAUGAUGAGGGAUUCCAACCUUAUCUUCACAGCUCUAUUGCUCUUAGUAGGAGCAGUUUUCCCAAGGAUUUUAUAUUUGGAGCAGCAACUAGUGCUUACCAAAUUGAGGGAGCAGCAAAUUCAGAUGGCAGGAAGCCAAGUAUUUGGGAUACCUUCACCAAGGAAGAUUCAGAAAAAAUAUUGGAUCAUAGCUCAGGUGAUGUUGCUGAGGAUUUUUAUCAUCAUUACAAGGAGGACAUUGCUGUGAUUAAAGAAAUUGGUUUGAACUCCUUCAGAUUUUCAAUCUCAUGGUCAAGAGUAUUACCUUAUGGAAGAGUCAGUGCAGGAGUGAACCAAGAAGGUGUCAAUUUCUACAAUUCUAUCAUUAAUGAGCUCCUGUCAAAUGGCAUAGAGCCCUUAAUAACUUUAUUCCAUUGGGAUCUUCCACAAGCCCUUCAAGAUGAAUAUGGUGGAUUUUUAAGCCCCAAGAUUGUGGAUGAUUAUCAUGAUUAUGUAGACUUCUGCUUUGAAGAGUUUGGAGAUAGAGUGAAAUAUUGGAUCACUAUUAAUGAGCCAAAUUAUUUUAGUUGUUUCGGAUAUGCAACGGGAGAUACUGCACCAGGUCGAUGCUCCAAUUAUAUUGGAAAUUGUACGGUUGGAAAUUCUGCAACAGAACCUUACAUUGUAGUCCACCACAUGAUUCUUUGUCAUGCAACUGCUCUUAAAUUAUACAAACAAAAGUAUCAGGCUUCUCAAAAGGGAACAAUUGGGAUUAUUAUAACAGCAUUCUGGAAGGUGCCCAAAUUUGAAACCACUGCCAGCAGGAAGGCUGCCUCUAGAGGCCUUGAUUUUACCAUUGGAUGGGUUCUCCACCCUCUAACAUAUGGAGACUACCCUGAGAGCAUGAGAUCUUUGGUGGGAGAGAGACUGCCUAAAUUCACAGAAGAACAAUCCAAGAUGAUACAAGGAUGUAUUGAAUUCGUUGGAAUAAAUUACUAUACAGCAAGAUAUGUUGAUGCAUCUCCAUCCUCUACCAAAGUGAACUUGAGUUACACAACAGAUAGUCAGACUAUUGAAUCCACUGAGAAAAAUGGGAUUCCUAUUGGACAACAGCUUUGUAGGCUGGAUCUAGCUGGAUAUACAUAUACCCAGAAGGAAUCCGAGAAAUAGUGUUCUAUAUAAAGAGAAAUUUCAACAAUCCUCCAAUUUAUAUCACUGAGAAUGGAGUGGAAGAUAAUAGCUCCAUGGCAAUAAACGAAUCACUGAAUGAUAGCUUGAGGAUAAAAUAUCACUAUCUUCAUCUAUCUUAUCUCCUUCAGGCGAUCAAGGAAGGAGCUGAUGUGAGAGGGUAUUAUGUGUGGUCAUAUCUGGAUGAUUUCGAGUGGGAAUUUGGCUAUACGGUUCGGUUCGGACUCACUUAUAUCGAUUACACAAAUGGGUUGAAAAGAAUUCCAAAAUCAUCUGCUUUAUGGUUCAAGAAUUUCCUCAAUGGGGAAAAUGUCACUACACAUUCAUAUUCUUUCUUGUACUCUGCAAAGAGUUCAAUUUAAUAACAAAUAUCUAAUCAUCAUCA